ACAGGUGCGAGAUCUGCAAUGCAUUUGAGAUAUUUCUGAUGCCACAUUAGCUACAUUUCAAAGUCACGUUUACUAGUCGUUAUAAAUCUUUAGAAUGAUAGAUCUAGAAUUACUAGAUCUACAUGUAUUUUUAUUUUUAAAGGUUACUAAAUUCGUCGAGCUAUUUUUAUUAGCAGACGCGAAACCCGUCUUUUGUAGCAUUAUAAAUCCACUCUUCCAGACAACUGACCACAAUGCGAUCUUCUUGUAGAUAAAACUUAUUGGCAAAUAAAUGAAUACUUCUCAGCAUUAAAGGGAGGUCUCCUGCAGAAUAAAGAGACAAUAAAGGGCAAUAAAACACUUCAAAGCUAGAUCUAUAUUUAUUUUCAGAUCAACAAUGACAAUGGCUAAAGACCGUUAUAGUGAUGGGGAAGUGAAGAAACCCUUGGAAGCCGUUGGCAUUGAAGAAAAACUAGAAAUGUAUAUAAAGAAAAUGACACAAAUUAUUCACAUCUACGAACAUUAGGAAAUGCCAUUCAAAAUUUUAUUACCGGAUUUAUUAAUAAUAUUGUGUAGUUCAAUAGUAAAAAUAUUAUAAUAUU